AAACACCUAAUAAUAUCCAGAUCAACAGGAUUUGUUCGUUUCAGUCGAUCAAAGUCCAUGGACCUUCUGAUAUCCGUAACUCAUGUUGAGCGUGACCAUACAACGGUGUUGUUUAUUUUGGCUAUGCGUGUGAAGUUAUACAUAAUGAAAGAGUAAACGUGAUUAUGUCUGGUCAUCGUUAGACGGGCAUAAACGUUGGUGAAAAGAAAACCUGUUUAUAUCAUUGAUUAUACUUGGUACAGCCGCAGGCUUUCAUCGGGAUCUGACUGACUUGAAAAGUUUAUAACGAAGAAGAAUUGGCCGAUGUGGUUUGCUACUUUCAAAAACGUCUCACCGAUGAUUUCUAAUGUCGAAUUAAGUGGGAGGAAACGAUACAAGCUAAAAGUACACACGAAGCGUCAGUUCUACUAGGUACGUGUAGUUCGCUGGUUGUUCGUCACAGCCUGUCCGUUCUACAUACAACAAGUUCACUGCAUUCGAAAACUUGGAUCAACUCACAAAUAUGUGGAAAUUCACGUUACUGUUAUUGCUGUUGAUCUAUGGAGCUGCAAGGUACUGGAGUAACUCAGAAAAUCCCAAAGCACCAGCAGUGCCUGACGACCAGUACUGGGGGACAAGAGAAUCUUACUCGGAAGACAAAACUAUUCGGCCAUUCGAAAUUGAUGUUAAACAAGAGGUUAUCGAUGACCUUAAGAUGCGCCUUAGCAGAACCCAAUCUUUGAGAAAGCCACUCGAAGACAUUGGGUGGAUUUACGGCGUAGACAGCGAGCACCUACAAACCGUACUGGAGUACUGGAGGACAAAGUACGACUGGACCAAACGUCAAAGCCUCCUUAACAAGUAUUCGCAGUUCGAGACCAGCAUUCAAGGCUUGGACAUCCACUUUUACCAUGUGAAGCCCAGAAUCUUGGAGGACAGUUCUAUCAGAGUUCUCCCUCUGCUGCUGGUCCACGGCUGGCCCGGAUCCAUCGUUGAAUUUCAGAAGAUCAUCCCUCUCCUCACGAUACCACGUGAUGAUCGGGAUUUCGUCUUUGAGCUGAUCAUACCAUCGUUGCCAGGUUACGGGUUUUCGGACGCAGCAGCUCGCCCUGGUUUAGGCUCCACUCAGAUGACGAUAGUGUUGAAGAAUCUAAUGAGCAGGCUAGGUUUUGAAAAAUUCUAUGCUCAAGGCGGGGACGCGGGAAGUGUCAUCACAGCAAACAUGGGAGUUCUCUACCCCGAAAGUGUUUUGGGAAUACACUCGAACAUGUGCCAAAACAACGCACCCUCUGCUUACGUCUGGACCAUUCUCGGUGCCUACAUUCCGUCUCUAGUCGUCAGCAAUGAGCACUGGUCCAAGAUGUAUCCUCUAAGCUACCAUUGGUCACGUCUUUUCGAAGAAUUUGGUUAUCUACACGUACAGGCUACAAAGCCUGACACAGUCGGCAUCGCGCUCACCGACUCUCCGGCUGGUUUGGCUGCCUACAUCUUGGAAAAGUUCAGCACAUGGACGAAUCCGGAGUACAGAUUCAACAAAGAUGGUCGACUGCUCGAAAAGUUUACCAUCGACGAGCUUUUGGACAACGUUAUGGUCUACUGGGUGACAAACUCGAUCACAACAACAAUGCGAUUGUACGCCGAAACUUUCAAUAUUGCUCAUCUGAUGUUUCAGACGGAAAUGUUUCCUAUCUACACGCCGACUGCAUGUGCCCUGUUUCCGCACGAAAUUACCUACCAGUCGGAAUCCCUAUUGCGUUUCAGGUACCGGAAUUUGCUUCAGGUUCCAGAAUCGAUGUAUUCCACUUGGCAGAUGUAUAUGAAAAUAGACUUUAAGUCGACUCCCCACCUCGAAGUGCCGUCUCACAAAGACGGCGCGGAAAUUGGAUGCGUGGGAUAUUUUCUCACCUAAGCAAACAGUCCCUCGCCCUUGGGUAACGGCCGAAAGCGAGACACCCUUAAUUCCCCUAAUUCCGACCGGGGACGACCGGGGACGAAGCCGACUCUCCCUUGCAUCUAGGAGACGAAGGCAAAACAACCGAGCACAGGAUCUCCGUCAGCCUCUUUCUCCUCCAUGACGCACACAUGCCGGACCAACCAUUGCAGUCGGUUUUGGCCCUCUAGCCGAUCCCGGAGAGAAACCCAGAGUGCAGCCAGUCAUGCCGAUGCGCUUAUCGACCCUCGGGAAAUCCCAUCAUCAAUCACUUUCUUCAACUCCAGUAAGGUGUGUCCGCCUUUGUUGACGUGACGUGACGGCUGAGAAGAUCGCAGUAGGCCGAAAAUUUAUACUUCUUAUUAAUUUUAUUACCAGAUAGUCGUGCAUUGAGUAAUUAUUAAAUUAUUAUUUUUCUAAGGUAUGAUCGUCUUUUUAUAUGUACAAAAAUACUGGUAUUAUAAACAAUCGCUUACAGAUAUCGAUGGUUCGAUUCCAAUCGCUUGAAAAUUAUUUCGAAAAACUAGUAAAUUUGUUCGGUUUCACUCUAUACGAUGGAUCACUUUGUUCGAAAGACUUUUUUCUGCCAACACCGAGACACUUUUUAUUACCAUGUUAUGGUAUGGUUGAAUAUUUCGUCUUUCAAUAUUACGCUAACGUUGAUUAUGAUCAACGAAUAGCAAUAUUGAAUUGAAUACUGAAAUGGAAUUUGUUUCAGCUACUUUCCAGUAGGAAAUACUUUUCUGAAUUAAAUGAGUCAGGAUAUGAGUGAAAUCGAACAAACCUACUAGACCUUUAACUAUUUUUCAAUGAUUAAUAAAUAAAUCAUCGGCAUCAAUGGCUUUUGUUCAUGCUUCCAGUAUAUUCUAUUCUUGUAUUUUUGCCGAGAUCUUCGUAAUUUACGAUAUAACAAUUUGACAAGUGCUUAAUGUACAACUAACUCGUGAUAAAAUUAAUAAAAAGUAUCGAUUUUCGGUCAGCCAAUCAUAAU
rnacentral:misc_RNA from 1 species